rnacentral:rRNA from 1 species
UUCUCUGGCCAUACCACCCUGAACAUGCCCAAUCUCGUCUGAUCUCAGAAGCUAAGCAGGGUCGGGCCUGGUUAGUACUUGGAUGGGAGAUGAGGGAACUUUAAAAG